AACAGUUGUUUCAGAGAGGAUUCAUUGGAAGUCGUCCUCAAAGGUUUGUUUCUUAACAUUACUGGAUGAACUAUUGAUACAAUAAUGCUGCCCUUUUUCGAAGCUUGAUUGUGUUUGAUUUUUUGUAGAGUGAAUAUAAGGUUUUUUCUUCAUUAGAAGUAUAGAUUUGAGGGGAGGGAACAACUUCUUUAAAUUGUGGUGAGGUGAAAGAGUUGGUCCUUAUUAGCCAACUCUCUCUUUGGCUUUGCAACAGCUUGGCUAUAUGUCUAAAUUCUAAAACAACCUUCAUGUAGAAAGAGUAUACAUUGACUUUAGUGCAUGAUGUAAGUUUGGGAGAAGUUUUACUCAAGUAGCAAAUCUCACAGUUUGAGGCAAUGAUCUUGAUCGUGUAUGGGAUUGACAAGGAUAAUGUUGGGAGAUCUUCAUCCAUAGGCUAAGUGAAAGAAACCUAUAAGUGGACUUGACACCACAUCUUAACCUCAAACGUUAAGGUAUUAGGUUUAUGGGUCUAUUCGUUUUUAUGUUUUUCAA
rnacentral:lncRNA from 1 species